CCCUUGUAAUAUAACCAAUAUACUGGUCUUGUAAACCAGAAAUGGAGCCCACCCCUCCCUAGGGC
rnacentral:tRNA from 1 species